rnacentral:rRNA from 1 species
GACGAACGCUGGCGGCGUGCUUAACACAUGCAAGUCGAACGGAAAGGCCCUGCUUUUGUGGGGUGCUCGAGUGGCGAACGGGUGAGUAACACGUGAGUAACCUGCCCUUGACUUUGGGAUAACUUCAGGAAACUGGGGCUAAUACCGGAUAGGAGCUCCUGCGGCAUGGUGGGGGUUGGAAAGUUUCGGCGGUUGGGGAUGGACUCGCGGCUUAUCAGCUUGUUGGUGGGGUAGUGGCUUACCAAGGCUGUGACGGGUAGCCGGCCUGAGAGGGUGACCGGCCACAUUGGGACUGAGAUACGGCCCAGACUCCUACGGGAGGCAGCAGUGGGGAAUAUUGCACAAUGGGCGGAAGCCUGAUGCAGCAACGCCGCGUGCGGGAUGACGGCCUUCGGGUUGUAAACCGCUUUCGCCUGUGACGAAGCGUGAGUGACGGUAAUGGGUAAAGAAGCACCGGCUAACUACGUG